rnacentral:lncRNA from 1 species
AUUUAAAGGGACCACUCUAUUCCAUAUAUCAUUGAUCCAGUCAAUCCGUAUUCAAAUGAAGCUGCAAAAUGUCGCUGGGAUGAGAUAAACCGGGAGGCGACCAAGUUCCUGCAGAAACCAUUGUUGAAAAAUACUACUUCGAAAUUUAUUUAACUCAAUAUGAUACAUUAUUAGUACAUAUAGGACUUUCAUUUAGAAAAACAUUGAUAUAAACCUGUCAUUUGAUUUGUAAUUAUAUUUUUUAGUUUCAGUUAAUUGACAAUAUGCUAUGAUUUAUCAUAUACUUAGUAUUUUAUGAUAGCUUUUCCAUAUGUGCAAUGAGUGGAAGUACACAAGCCAUAAUUUCUCUACCAGGCUGAUAACCCAUAUCAGGGGCAUUUCGUGCACAAAACCCAUAAUAAUGCCUCUCGUGCAAGUUACUUCCGGUAUUUACGGUAUCGUUGUUUACUUUUACAUUGUGACUUUAAACAUUUUUUAUGACGACGUAAAUAAUUACGGGAACUUUUGUAGGAUAGUUUAGUACUUGCUAACAAAUGCCAUUGACAAUUAUGAAUCAUUUUAUAGUACAACAAACAUGGAAUAAUAAUGAUCAUAUUGACACUCUUCCAAAAAUUCAAUGUUUCAAAAUGCUUCUUUAGGAAAUAACUAUGAUUUACUUCACCAGUCUACUGUAUUAUGGAUUUCUUGUGUGUCCUUAAUUACUUGUGUAUAAAUUUAAAAGAUAAGAAAUUAAAAUAAAUAGUUAAAUAA